rnacentral:rRNA from 1 species
AAUAUCAAAGGUGAGCCAGUACAGGAUGGACCCGCGUCUGAUUAGCUAGUUGGUAAGGUAACGGCUUACCAAGGCGACGAUCAGUAGCCGACCUGAGAGGGGGAUCGGCCACAUUGGAACUGAGACACGGUCCAAACUCCUACGGGAGGCAGCAGUGGGGAAUAUUGCACAAUGGGCGAAAGCCUGAUGCAGCAACGCCGCGUGAGUGAUGAAGGCCUUCGGGUCGUAAAACUCUGUCCUCAAGGAAGAUAAUGACGGUACUUGAGGAGGAA